UACGUAGGGUGCGAGCGUUGUCCGGAAUUAUUGGGCGUAAAGAGCUCGUAGGCGGUUUGUCGCGUCUGCUGUGAAAUCUGGGGGCUCAACCCCCAGCCUGCAGUGGGUACGGGCAGACUAGAGUGCGGUAGGGGAGAUUGGAAUUCCUGGUGUAGCGGUGGAAUGCGCAGAUAUCAGGAGGAACACCGGUGGCGAAGGCGGGUCUCUGGGCCGAUACUGACGCUGAGGAGCGAAAGCGUGGGGAGCGAACAGG
rnacentral:rRNA from 1 species